rnacentral:rRNA from 1 species
AUUGAACGCUGGCGGAAUGCUUUACACAUGCAAGUCGAACGGCAGCACGGACUUCGGUCUGGUGGCGAGUGGCGAACGGGUGAGUAAUGUAUCGGAACGUGCCCAGUCGUGGGGGAUAACGUAGUGAAAAUUACGCUAAUACCGCAUACGAUCUAUGGAUGAAAGCGGGGGAUCUCAAGACCUCGCGCGAUUGGAGCAGCCGAUAUCAGAUUAGGUAGUUGGGGGGGUAAAGGCCCACCAAGCCAACGAUCUGUAGCUGGUCUGAGAGGACGCCCAGCCACACUGGAACUGAGACACGGUCCAGACUCCUACGGGAGGCAGCAGUGGGGAGUUUUGGACAAUGGGCGAAAGCCUGAUCCAGCCAUUCCGCGUGCAGGAUGAAGGCCCUCGGGUUGUAAACUGCUUUUGUACAGAACGAAAAGGUUUCUACUAAUACUAGGAGCUCAUGACGGUACUGUAAGAAUAAGCACCGGCUAACUACGUGCCAGCCGCCGCGGUAA